GCCAGGCGUGGUGGCGCAUGCCUGUAGUCCCAGCUACUCGGGAGGCUGAGGCAGGAGAAAUGCUUGAACCCAGGAGGUCAAGGUUGCAGUGAGCCGAGAUUGCGCCACUGCACUCCAGCCUGGGUAACAGAGCGAGAUUCCAUCUCAA
rnacentral:SRP_RNA from 1 species